UGGGCAAUCUGCCCUUCUCAUCGGAAUAAGCGUUGGAAACGACGUCUAAUGCCGAAUACGACCUCCUUUCGCAUGAUCGGAGGUGGAAAGCUCCGGCGGAGAAGGAUGAGCUCGCGGCCUAUCAGCUAGUUGGUGUGGGUAAUGGCCCACCAAGGCGAGGACGGGUAGCCGGCCUGAGAGGGUGACCGGCCACGCUGGGACUGAGACACGGCCCAGACUCCUACGGGAGGNAG
rnacentral:rRNA from 1 species